rnacentral:lncRNA from 1 species
CAGCAUUUGAAGAGGAGAGCCCAAGCUCAUGGGUUCCACUUCCUUGGAUCAUGCAGCCCUUCUGCCCGAGCCCAACGUGGAGGUGAAAGGCAGUCAGAUCACUAGAGCAGAGAGGACGGUGCCAGUGCCUCCAGGAACACGUUGGGGUGCUGGGUGGGUGGUACUGGGAAGGGCCUGCUUACAUGACGUCCACACUGUUUUGGAAUGGGGAAGAGAGAAGAAAAGUGUGAUGACUGGAGAAGUGAGGAUGAGAGGAGAUCAGGGAAGAUAAGGAGGCAAUAUUAGGAGAGAUAGGAUGGGGGUGGAAAGGUGUUAGCAGUGAAGCUUACUUAAAAAUUUGAGACAUUGAUGGGGAAAAUAGUGGUAAAACAAUUUCUGGUAGGCCCUCCAAGGGUUAACUGAGACCUUGGCUGAGAUGGUAGCAGUGAACCUUUGGUCACUGACUCCAGUGCCGUUGCUCUGGGUGUUUGCUGUGGCUGAGAUCCAGAAGGACAGUGGAGAGAGAAAGGCUCAGCCUCACCCAAGGAGAGGCAGCAGUCAGGGUGGUGCCCUGGGCAAGGGGCAGGAAGGCUGUCUGGUUGCUGUCUUAACUGUUGGUCACACACACCUGGGCCGAAAACGACUGGCAUCUGAAACCCCUUGGACUUGCUGGAGGCAGCCUAGUCUACCUGCGGAUGUUGUGAAUUAGGAGCUGGCCAAAGAGUGGGAGAGCUCCAGGAUCCCUCCCCAAAAAAGAGUGCU